rnacentral:rRNA from 1 species
GCGUGCCUAAUACAUGCAAGUCGAGCGGACAGAUGGGAGCUUGCUCCCUGAUGUUAGCGGCGGACGGGUGAGUAACACGUGGGUAACCUGCCUGUAAGACUGGGAUAACUCCGGGAAACCGGGGCUAAUACCGGAUGGUUGUUUGAACCGCAUGGUUCAGACAUAAAAGGUGGCUUCGGCUACCACUUACAGAUGGACCCGCGGCGCAUUAGCUAGUUGGUGAGGUAACGGCUCACCAAGGCGACGAUGCGUAGCCGACCUGAGAGGGUGAUCGGCCACACUGGGACUGAGACACGGCCCAGACUCCUACGGGAGGCAGCAGUAGGGAAUCUUCCGCAAUGGACGAAAGUCUGACGGAGCAACGCCGCGUGAGUGAUGAAGGUUUUCGGAUCGUAAAGCUCUGUUGUUAGGGAAGAACAAGUGCCGUUCAAAUAGGGCGGCACCUUGACGGUACCUAACCAGAAAGCCACGGCUAACUACGUGCCAGCAGCCGCGGUAAUACGUAGGUGGCAAGCGUUGUCCGGAAUAUUGGGCGUAAGGGCUCGCAGGCGGUU